UUCAUUCACCAUAAAUUUCUCAUCAGUUAUCUUAAGAUUGUCAUCCUUUCAAAUUUAACACAAAGUUGAACUUAAUUAAACAAGUGUCAAUAAAAAUCAACAAGAUCUUAUCAGUAAAACAAGUGUUAACUGAUGUAUUGAGUAUCUUACUUGUCUCUAAACACCUACUCAUGAGAUGUUUAUCUUCUAUCUGUUGAAAUAAAGAAACAAGAGAUUGAUUAGAACUAAGUUAACUAACCAAGAAAUCUAAUUAAAUAAAAUAAUUUAAUUCUCAACAAGCGUUCAAAAACAAUUCCUUUAACAAAAACUCGAUUUAAAAAAAAACAACAAUCAAGCAUAAUCUGCUACAAAAAAUUGAAGAACAAAAUGUUAUUGAACAAAACCUCAUAAUUCAAUUAGAAAUCACAAAGGGCACUCCACAAGGUUUAUCCUUUCACGAGGAAGACGAAAAUAAGAAAAUUACAGAAAGGGAAACUAAGUCUAUAGUGUGUUCUGCGACUAUUCAACCUCCCUUUGUUCUUUCUUUGAAGUCUUUUUUAUAAUCUUCUUUUUCUUUUAAAAAAUUCGAAUUCAAAUUUGUCUCAAGAUAUUGUUUAUUAAUUUAGAAAUGUUUUCUUUCUUUGUUUCAACUUGUUGAGCAUAUAUUCUUUCCCAACCAGUUAUUUAUCUUGUUUUCGCUCCUCUUUCUCAUGUAUUGUUUCCAAAUUUGAUUAGAUUUUCACAUUGAUUAUAAUUAAGCUCAAUGUUGUGAGAGAUAUUGCAGAAGAUUUGCCUGAAGUUCAAAGUAUUCAAGGUUAAUUGUUGCAUCAAUUCUUCCAAAGAAGGUCCACAUUUAGUAGGCGCAACAACUGGUGUUGGAGGUUGUACUAGACUAUCCAGACAUUGUUACAUGAUAUAAUACCCACUAAACGGUCUUAUGAUAAGAGAGUUUAUGAGUUUUGAUGAAACAAACACUAUAAAAUAGGUUAAAGGUAUAACAAAGCUAAUGGAUGUCCAUGUAUCAAAGCUUCAACAUGUUAGACGAUUUCACAAUGAUUAACAAAUUAAUCUGUUAGACGGUCUAAUUGUGUAAAACGUGCUAGACGAUCUCCCUAUGUUAAACAUAUUAGACGGUCUCUUUAUGUUAGACUCACUAGACUAUUUCAGUAGAUUACAACUUGCUAGAUAAUCUUUAAAUACAAAACACGUCAGAUGAUCUAGUUUUCCUUUUCGUGAUACAGGUCUAACGUAUGAAGGAAGUUUCUAAUCUCAAUCUAUGUACUCUAAAAACAUUUUCUAAAGAUUCUUGAAUGUUUUCCAACCUGAUUUAAUAUUUUUCGCAACCAGGGUCAUGACGGGGACAACAAACCAAAACGAAUUUGGAAAUACAGAGAAGGGAGUCACCACCACAGUUUAUUGCAGAAAACUACAAAAAAAAUAAAAAAAGAUGUCCUGCAAACCAAAUUUAGGGUCCGGGAGUCAAUUAUAUGUAAAGAAGGUAUGAACAUGAUACCUUUAAUUAAAUAUGUGAAUCGAAUGAUGUUUUCCAAAAGUAGAAACAAAAUGCAUUAAGAAAUUAUUUUUGAAUUCUUUAUUUGAGGUUCGACAAGAAUGAACCAUAGCCUUAUGUAUUUUUCGUUUAUAACAAAAAAUUAGAAUUUUCAUAAUUCGUUUAUAACAAAAAAUUAGAAUUUUCAUAAUUCUAAAGUUAAACUAUUGGAAAAAGGGAUGUACCAAUUUGAGUUGGACUUUUGAAAAAGAUAAAACUGGAUUUUUUAAAAAGUGAACCCAACAACAAUUAAUCUUGCUACUACAUAUUUUUGUUCAUAACAAAAAAUAAGGAUCGUGUAGUUCUCACAAUCAAUUAUUUGAAGAAAAAAAAAUUGUUUGUUGAUAUUUUUUAAUUUUUGAAAAUUUUAUAUUUUUAUAUUUUAUGUUUUUAUUAUUUUUUAUUUUUACUCAAAUGAUUGUUUUAGAAAUUCAAAUUUUUAUAUAUUUAUUAUUAUUUUUCUAAAGAAAUUAAAAACUGAUGGGUGUAUAAAAUAAAAAAAGGGGUGGCAGAAAGCAAAAGUGCUGAGCCAGUUGAAUGUGCAAAGACUGAUUUGGUAAGGGUGGUGCGGAUAAAACUGUGGUGCAGAUAGUGAAAGUAUUGGGGGAGGCAAUAUAAAUUGAAAAUCCAGAAUUGAAAAAACACAAUUCAGAGUUCAUGAAAUAGGGAUGCUGGAAGUAAAGGGCUGGGUUCAGAAACUUGCAAGCUAGACAGUCGCAUUGUGGCGCGACGGUGGCAGGUGACUUUUGCAGCGGCGGCGGGGCAGCGGUAUGAUAGUGGUCGCCGGCAAUGUAGUUGAUGGCGCUGGAGGGCGGCGUUGGUGUCCGGUGCGUGGAGGAGCACGCGUGAUGGUGUGUACGGGUGCGUGGCUGGGCGACGGCCGACGCGGAUUCUGUCGGCGGGGCUGCGUUGGCUGUAGCGGUGGUCGUCGGUGGAGUGGUGCGGUGAAAGCAGCGGAGAGUGUGAGGAAUGGGGUGACUGCCUCUGUGAGCGUGAGUGAGAAACAAAAAAAAAAGGGUAGUGAGUCGUGGAGUGAGAGUUUGGAGGUGAUGUGUGUUUUUGUCCUUUGGUAUGGGUUACCCCACCACGGUCUAUUAAGCCCACUUUUAAACUAUGUUAAAGGUUCAAGUUAGUUCAUUCAGUUACUAUUUAAGGUCUGAAAUUAUCAUAAAUAGAAGUAAGGUCUGAAAUUAUCAUAAAUAGUUUUAGUAUUUCAUAGUUAGUUUUAGUAUAGAUAGGAGUUGUUGUUCUUUUAGAGUUUUCAUUACUCUUAUAAUGUCUCCAAACAAAACAAAAAACUUAAAUAAAAUACUAAACUCCAUAAAAAAAGUGUUUAUCUACUAUUGAAGAAAUUGAAUACCUCUCCUCAAAAUCCCACACGGCUUAAACACCAGCGCCACGUCAUCAGCAUCGCACAGCUCCACUCAAUCACUAGAACAACCUCUACGCACAUUAGGUUGCACGCUGCAGCUCGCUGCACCUUGAGCCGGUCAACCACCAACGCCCCAAUUGUCACGUUGUCCAGUGUCGCCUAAAACAGUCUUCGCACACACCGGGCUCCAUCCCGCAACAUCGCUAUCAGCGUUUAGAUCCGUUCAACUAUCAUCAACCCAGUCGUUACCGCGCCGUCCAAUGUCGCUUGCAACUACACCUCUCGCAUAUAUCCCAAUUUUCGCGUCCCCCUUCGUCAUCUCCUUUAGAGCACCAAAAAUUGUUUCUCCCACUAACUUCAUCUCUCCCGUGAACGACACUCAAAUACAACCCAAAACAAAAGAAGCGCAGUAGCAAAGCUAAAAAAGAACGACAACCUCCACAUCAUUCUACAUCGCCCUCUAUCAAAAUUAUUCAGCCCCAACCCACCUUCACUCUUGAGGACCAAUUACAAUUUCUAAAAUGUAAGAUAA
rnacentral:lncRNA from 1 species